rnacentral:lncRNA from 1 species
UUUCUUUGAGACACAAAAUUUUUGAUAUAGAAAGAAUGCUUCUGUGAAUAAUUUAUACUUCGUAUAUGUUUCGCCAUCGGGGUUUGACUAAUCUAUAUGGGCGCGGUUCAUUCGACCAUUUGGCUCAUUACAAAGUUUCCCUAUGGAGACCUUUGGACAUGAACUACUUUCCUAAAAAAUAUAACAUCUGAGGGUGAUGCCCCCAGUAUUCGAGGUUGAUUGUAAAGAAGCCUUAGAUACUGUUGAAUUUUCCUCAAGUAGUGCAUAAUUGUUUCCUCGUUUAAAACCUCACCGGAAAAAUGCAUUUGGGACAAAAACCAAUCUAAGGGAAAAAGAGUGAAUGCAAUUCUUGCUUUAAAACCAAAGGUCUCGAUGCUUUAGCAAUACCAUUUGGGAAGUGAUAUGUUUCAAUUAUUUGGCAGUUGUUGUAUGUCCAUCGUGCCAAUCUUAUAAGAUCCUUUUCCGACAAUGUCAAGGACUUGGUAGGUUCCUUCCCAAUUUGGGUCGAGCUUCCCUUUAUUAGGAUCUCGAGUGUUGAUGGUGGCCUUCCUCAUGAUCAAGUCCCUGGCUCUGAAGUGGUGAAGGUGUUCUCCUACUGUAGUAUCUUUUGAUUCGUUGCUUUUGUGCAGCCAUUCGAACGAGUGCGGCUUCUCAUUAUUCAUCCAAUAAUUCGAGGCUAGUAUUCAUAGCCUCGUAAUUUGAUUCUUCUAUUGCGUAUCAAAAACCGGCACUGGGUUCCCCAAACUCGAUACGACU